rnacentral:SRP_RNA from 1 species
GCCGGGCGUGGUGGUGCAUGCCUGUAAUCCCAGCUACUCAGGAGGCUGAGGCAGGAGAAUCGCUUGAACCCAGGAGGCGGAGGUUGCGGUGAGCCAAGAUCGUGCCAUCGCACUCCAGCCUGGGCGACAGAGCGAGACUCUGUCUCAA